GCCUCAAAAUUGAAGGCAAUCAGAGACCUAGGGUGAUUUCUUUUACCCUCUAAUCCUCAGUCCCUGGAAUGAGAAAAUAAUGACUGUAUUUUUACUCUUAUUAGGCAGGUAGCAAUAUAAUGCUUCAUCUCUGCAUAGGGCAUAGGUGGCAAAGUCCCUCCACAUACAUCUCAUUUGGUCCUGGAACCCCUAGUGGUGCAAACAGUUAACAUGCUCAGCUGCUACCCUAAAGAUUGGAGACUCAAAUCCACCCAGACGUGCCUGGAAGAAAGGUUUGGAGAUUUACUUCUGAAAAGCCAGCCACUGAAAGCUGUAUUAAGCACAGUUCUUCUCUGACACACAUGGGGUUGCCAUGAGUCAGAGUCAGCUUGCUGGCAACUGGUUAACCACUCUAUGAGGUGGCAGAGAAGCAGGCAAGCAGGAAUCGGAGACUCAGAAAGCCUAAAUGACUCAUCUAAUGACCCACAGCUCAAAAGCAGCAGCACUGAGACUGGAAACAACUCCCUUGGACUCCGGUGUAGUGCUGUUGUCUCUAUACUGAUCUGUCUCUUGGCAUGGAAGUAGAACAAGGGAGAUUAGGAGUGAAAUUCAUUACAGGGUUAACACCUAAAUGAACAUCUCCACCAAAUACAUUGAUUUCAUAUUGUGACUUUUUCUGGGUGACUGACUUCUGUGUGGCUCCCUCCUGAGAGUAGAGAAAAGCAUUGAGGUCACAAAUCUCCUCACCUUGCAGACUCAAGAAGGUCUUGGUUUAUGAAGCAAGGGCAGAUUACCCAAUAAGCAAGGUAAGCAUGGGCUUACUUGCUAAUCUGUAGUGCACAAUUUUAAUCUUUUUCAUCAUGUCAAAGAUUCUGCUUCUAGGUAUGGCUGGCAUCUGUCUCUCUCCCAACCUCACAUCACCUCCCUACAGAAUCAAAUCUUCUCAAAUUUACAGUCCUUGACAGGAACCGAUUACCCAGUAAGCAAGGUAAGCACAGGUUUACUUGUGCUUACUUACUAAACUGUAGUGAACAAUUUCACAUGAUUUUCCGAUUUGCCUGUGUUUACCUUACUUACUGGGUAAUCUGCCCCUGAUGAUAUGUUAUAAAGAAAACCAGCAAAAAGACCCCUCAGGCUUCUCCGUCCCAUCUAGUGUACUAUUCAGGACAGCCGAUAGAGGGCGGUUGCCAAACACAGAUUCCGUGAAAAUUUAACAGUCCCUGACUUGUUUUCUUUCAAUUCGGUCCUCAGUUUUACUAUUUCAUUACCUGCCUGUGCCAGAGCGCGGCUGAGUCCACAGCUGCAACACAGCCAGGAUUUAUAAACUCUGUUUAGCCCUUCUGUCUCAUAAAACUCUCUUCAUCCAAAUCUGUAAGAUUUAUUCGAAGAAGUCCUAAAAUUGAUUAGAUUUACCUCAUACCCCCUCCCUUCCCUCCUCUUGAUAUAAUUGGUAAUAAUACAAAAAAAACAACAGGGUCAAAAUAUGGACCCAGCAAUCACAGGAUGGGUGGAAAAACACACAACCGUUUGUUCCUGCGUGAUUGGUAAGGGGAAGCAGCCACUGGAAGCAGAAACAAAUUGAAAUCACUAAUAUUCUGAACUCUGCUACAUCUAAAGCUAGUUGUUUUAAUUCCUUCUCACUGUCAUGUUUAACAUGUUAAGCAAUUAGGAUUUUCUUUUCUUGCAGGUAAAGCUUUUUUUUUUUUUUCUUUUUUCAAUCAGUAAAGCUUUUGCUCAGUUUCUUAGGCCAAAAUGAGUGUGCGCUAUCAUACAAUCUUGUAUUCAAUUCCACCCUUCCUUAAAGCACUGUACUCAAGUCUUUAGAAAAUUCCAGGUAACUUUCCUGCCACUUCUAGUUAAUUAGUCACUCACUACUAAUGUCUCAAAGCACAAUUUCUAGAUGACUUUAAGUUUGGCGGUUUACCCACCAACAGCUCUCAGGGGGGUAAAGACCUGACAAUCUGUCUCCCUGCAGCAGUUCUACUCUGUCCUGUAAGGAUUGCUGUGAGUCAUCAUGGACUCAGUGGUGCACAAUAACAGACCUACUCAGCUGAAUUCAAAUUCUUUCAUCUCCUUCUAAACUGCACACUGAGUCUUUGUACCUAAGGAAUAAAGAGUAAGGGGAAGGUACUGUGUUCACCUAAGAGAACAUCAAGAUAGAAAAAAACAUUUCUACAGACUUCAGGACGCAGAUAUGUGAACUAGUAUAUAUUCAUUAUAUAUAUAUUGAUAUAUGAAAUUCAUACAUAUGUUAUAUACAUAUAUAUUAUUUAUCUUGGUAACUAGCUGUCAAAGUAAUAAUUCCUUUCCUCUAAAGAACUCAGAAGGAGCCCUGGUGGUGCAGCAGUUAAGUGCUUGGCUGCUAACAGAAAGGCCGGCAAUUGGAACUUACCAGCUGCUCCAUGGGAGAAAGAUGUGGCAACCUGCUUCUGUAAAGAUUACAGCCUUGGAUACACCAUAGGGCAGUUCUACUCUGUCUUCUAGGGUCACUGUGAGUCGGAAUCUACUUGACAACAACAGGUAUCAGGUAUAGGCAGAGAACUCAAAGGGAAAUAGCAGCUAUUAUUUUCCUUUCUGCAUUGUCCUUGGGCGGGAGGGAGAGAGGGCGAGAUAAAAACUGUGGUUCACUCAAGGUCACUUAGUCAAUUUGGUCCAACAGGAAUUCCUACCUCUUACAGGAAAACAUGCAGAGUCCAACUACACACUGGCCUUGACUGCCUUAAAUCACGGAGUGGAUUUGUUGUUGUUGUUAGGUGCCGUUGUGUAGCUCCUGACUUACAGCAACCCUACAGGACAGAAUAGAAUUGCCCCAUAAGGUUUCCAAGGAGAAGCUGGUGGAUUUUGAACUGGCGAACUUUGGGUUAGCCGUUGAGAUAUUAACCACUAUGCAACCACCUAGGCUGAAUUCUGGAGCCUCCUGAAUUUUGAGGAGAAAUAAUAAAUUCUUCCUUGGUCUUUGAGGUGCUUCGAACAGAUCCAGUCUGAUAAUCAUAUGUGCAGGGAAUUCUAUGGAGAAAGCCUCUCAGAGGUCCAAAAUACUCCACUUAUCACAACACAUGGCUCAGAGCCAUGUCCCCAUGAGGGCAAACGUUGCUGAGCAGGACAGGGAGCAGGCAAACUAUCUCUGGCUUCUGGACCUCUGCCAAACUAGGAAAGGCAAAGACCAUAUGGCAAGUUUGCUAGUUAAGGCCCGCAUGUAUAAGGAACUCCACUGGGAUAUUUAGCAGACAGUACUAAGCAUUCUCUUUCCUUCUAAUAUUUCAGUCUUAGACCCUCAGAACUUUUGUUUAGGGGAGAAUCCCAGGUAGCUGAUGCUGCUCAACUGAAGACUAACCCGACCUUCUGCCCAUGGGUGCCCAUGAGGCACAGAGAGCCUUGCCCCCACGAGGUGUGUGACUAAGGGAGUGGGAGCUAGAUCCAGGAAAAGGAGCAAGUGUUGGCUAACUUUUCUCUCAUAUCACACUGGCAACUGGGAAAAAGAUCUUAUCUUUUAAUUUAGUGCUUUGUCUGGCAUGUCAAGGAUUUAUCUCAUCAUGCUUUGUGAGAAAAACAUAAGAAGGAUUUUGUUUGCCUCUGCACAAAGUCUGGCCUUCUUAACCCCCAAAGGCCUCUCUGAGGGAUCAUUGUUGUUUUAAAGAAGAAAAAGUGCAUUGGGGAGAAUAAAUAUGUAUAUAUUUUAAUUUGUUAAAAACUACAAUUAUUUUUUGUGUUUUUUUUUUUAGAAAAUCAUUACCUUCUUAACAAUGGUAUUACUCUUAUGCUCAGAUCUAAAUCUUUUUUCUGUUUCUGUUCCUUCUUGUUCCUUUCCUCCCCUUGUCUUUCCUUCCUUUAAUUUUCUUCUGUUUCUGAAGGUAAAACCAGGAAGAGAAAAAAGCUAGAUGUAUACUGGCAACACUUGUAAGAACUCAGGUAUUAACCCAGGAGUAAACAAAUAUGCCUGGGUAUGCCUGGAUUAGCUACAAAAUCUACCUAAAAUAUUCUUAGUUUAUUCAGAGAAGGAUCAAUUCCAGCUCCCAGGAGGAAAACAAAUGUCAAUAACAGAACAUGCUGGAAUUUCCUAAAUGUAUUUUUCCCGGGCUCUUUCACUUUUGUUUCACCUUAGGCCAAACAAGGUCAUAGGAAUUUGGAUUUGGAAGGGGGCUACUCAAAACCCAUUACCAUCAAGUCAAUUCCGACUCAUAGCCACCCUAGAGGUCAGAGUGGAACUACUCCAUAGGGUUUCCAAGGCUGUGAUCUUUACGGAAGCAGACAGCCACACCUUUCUCCUGAGGAGCGGCUGGUGGGUUCAGACCACAGACCUUUUGGUUAGCAGCCGAGCACUUAACCACUGCACCACCAGGUCUCCUUAGGAAGUAGUCAGCACAUCCUAAUAUCCUGACAUUUUCCCACCAACUCCCCCAAACCACGCCUUGCUACAAGGAUGUAGUUUGAAUUUAUUAAAGAACAGGUAGCAGUUUAGCCGGCUGCUUUACAGCCACUUACCAGAAUCUUCCCUUUUCCGAUAGGAUAAGGGAGUUUUUAUUACCGCACAAUACGUCUUAAUGUCUGUUGUAUGUAAAACCUCAUUUCCACUGACUAACUCCUAGCUUAGUUCAGACCUCUGAGUCAUCCAUAAACCCAUCUGUCUUAGUCAUCUACUGCAGCAAUAACAGAAACACCACAAGUGGCUGGCUUUAACAAAGAGAAAUUUAUUCUCUCACCGUCCCAUAGGCUAGAAGUCCGAAUUCAGGGCACCGGCUCCAGGGGAAGCCUUUCUCGCUCUGUUGGCUUGGGAGGAAGGUCCUUGUCAGCGGUCUUCCCUUGGUCUGGGAGCAUCUCAUUGUAGGAACCUGAAGUCCAAAGGGCGCUCUCUGCUCCUGGCGCUGCUUUCUUGGUGGUACGAGGUUCCCAUGUCUCUGUACUCGCUUCUCUCUUUUUAUAUUCCAAAAGAGAUUGGCUUAAGACACUAUCUAAUCUUGUAGACCUCAUCAAUAUAAGCUGCUAAUCCAUCUUAUCACAUCAUAAUGAUGGAAUUUACUACACAUGGGGAAAUUACAUCAGAUGAUAAAAUAGUAGACAAUCAUACACUCAUACAAGGGAAUCACGACCUAGCCAAACUGACAGACAUUUUGGGGAACACAAUUCAAUCCAUGACACCAUCCCAAAUUGACUUAAUCAAAGAAAAGAAUGUAUCAGUUUCUGUAGCUGAAAAGUGUAGAGUUGAAGUUGGUUUCAGGCAAUCCAGAUCAAAUGCCAUCUCCCUUUCUUCCUAUCUUUCCCCCUCUCUCAGCUUGACCUAAUUCUCACAAAGGUAGACUCCCCCAUGUGGCGGUCAUAUGGACACCAGCAGAUUUAGACUCAUUCCACAAGUUAAGGCAUACUGAGGAGCAUGCUUCUUUCUCAACAAAGUUCCAGCAACUAUCUCAUUGGAUGGACUUUAGCCACUCGCUCAUGGCUGAAACAACUUUACUCCAUUGUUUCCAAAAGUUGAUAUGCAUGUGGGGACUGUAAAUUUAUCGGAAAGCGUGGGAGCCUGAAACCUAUCAAAUGUCAGUGAGGAAGCAGUUGUGUUCCCGUGAGGAUAGCCUGUGGAGCUGCAGGCCUCCCUUUCAGGGUUGUGGGUGAAGGAAAAGGCAACACACAAUACAGGAGAGGUCAGCACAACUGGACUAAACCAAAAGCAAAGAAGUUCCCUGAAUAAACUGAACGGUUCCAAGGUGAGCAUGGCGGGGGCGGGGGGGAGGG